AUUGAACGCUAGCGGGAUGCUUUACCCAUGCAAGUCGAACGAGUGGCGUCCGGGUGAGUUAUAUAUCUGAACGUGCCCAGUAGCGUGGGAUAACUACUCGACAGAGUUGCUAAUACCGCAUACUAUUGCAGCGGCCGAUAUCGGAUUAGCUAGUUGGUGGGGUAAAGGCUCACAAAGGCAACGAUCCGGAGCUGGUUUGAGAUGACGACCAGCCACACGGGGAAUGAGACACGGCCCAGACUCCUACGUGAGGCAGCAGUGGGGAAUCUUGGACAAUGGGGGAAACCCUGAUCCAGCCAUCCCGCGUGUAUGAGAAGGCCUUCGGGUUGUAAAGUACUUUUGGCAGAGAGGCGGUAUCUGCAGAAUAAGCACCGGCUAACUACGUGCCAGCCGCCGCGGUAAUUC
rnacentral:rRNA from 1 species